AAACCAGCGACACGUGGGGU
rnacentral:misc_RNA from 1 species